CACUUUCCUAGUUUAUAUUUUCAGUUCUCACUUCUCUCUCUCGGUUCUCUUCUUCACUCUUCAACUUAGAGUUCAGAGUCACUCUUCAAAGAUCAAAUCACCACCAGUAACACCAACAAGGCAACAACUUGAGGAAAACUGUCUUAGACUUGAAGCUCGCCUAAGAGGAAAUCAAUUGAAAUAUUGAUUAAAGGAGAAACUAUCUUGUUAGAUAGUCAUACAUGGAGUCACAUCGCAAAUGGGAGCAUAUUCUCAACCUUCAUCAUCUUGUGGAGCAAGUGACAGUGCAACUAAGAAGGUUAAAGUUGGUGUAAGGAAAUCAUGGGUGCGCGAGCACUUUGAUAUUUUAGAGUCUGGUGCUAGAGCAAAAUGUAAGCAUUGUCCAAAGGGUUUAGGUAUAUACAAGAUUGGUGAUAAAUCAUAUGGGAGUGCCAAUCUUAGUCGUCAUUUGGAGAAGUGCAAUGAAUAUAAGAAAACAAUAAAUAAGGAACCGAGACUACGAACACUAGAUUUUCAACCUUGCAACCUGAAAGAGCACUUUGCUGCUUGGUGAGCUUGUUGCAGUAUUAGAGCUUACAUGGUUUUAGUUAUAGUUGCAGACUUGCAGUAUUAGUCUGCAGUAUUAAAUUUUGAAUAUAUUGUAAAAUUUUGAAUGUUGGAACUUAAAUUUUAAGAUAACUGAAUGGUGGUUAAAAAUUA